CCACCCCUUCCCAGACUUCAUUUAAGGGCUGGCAGUGGAGAUAAAGGUGUCUUGCUGGAGGUCUGUCUAUACUUGAGGCCUUCUGAAGAAAAUGGAGGUGGAACGAUUCCAGAGGCAAAGCUCAGAUGGGGGCUGGCACUGCUGGGAAAGACCCAAAGCACCACGCAUGCAGGUGGGACGUCGUGUCACCUUAGGAGUUCUUCAAAUGCAAUGGCAGACAGAGAAAUGAAGUCUGGUUGUCUACAAAUGUAAAGAGAAGAUGGUCUGAAGUACGAGCUCUGGAAAAACAGAGCAAAACAAAAGAAAGUGAUCCUCUAAUGCAGAAUCCAUUCAGUGGUUUUCGUAUUUCUUUAAUGAUUGUCUGCUUUUCUAAUAUUUCAUGCGGAUAAAAAAGGACAUGUUACAUUUAAACCAUAGAUUGCCUCUUGCUGCAUUCAUCAUCAGCAAUUACUCUUUGCUCCAUAUAUUCCAGACUUAUACCUAAGGACAAUAGCUGAACACACUGAAUUGAUUAUCGUCAAUUAGGACCCCAUCUCACCUAAGCAGAAAUUUCUCAUUCACAAUGGCUUUUUAGUCUCAAAAGUCCGUAUUUAAAUUUCAAAGCUAAGAAACUUUGACCUAGAGGCAUGAGGAUAUAUUUAAGGAAAUCAAAACUAGGAGCCCAGAAAGCAAACCGAAUGAUUUGCUCCUCCCAUACCGAAUUCCCUGCGGUUUGUUUCCUUGGCCCAUGCAUUUCUGCUGCAGGUGCUGUUUCAAGAUGCACAUUUUGGGAGCAGCAAUGGGAUUCACCAGCAGUAAAUCCAUCCAUGCUUCUCCCAGUUAAAAUGGGUGUGAUUCAGACUUGCAGUUGCAUCUGAGUCAACCUUUAAACGAGUGACACAAAUGUUGGUGAUGUUUAAAAGCGAACAUUAGCCUGGAUCUUCCCCGCCUCUGCCCCCACACCCUGGAGCACAGAAGAAGCAGCAGCAGUGAAAUGAAACUCUUUCAGAGACUCACUUUGAAACAGACACCCAAAGGAUUUAAUUAUUUCCCUGGGUCUGAUGCUUGACAAUUUCCAGUGCAGCUCUGGCUGCUCACGUAUGAGUUUCAGUUGAGAUUUCUGGCGUGCAGCCAGAGUGAGGAAGUAUAUGGAUUAAUUAUAGGCCCAGCCGCUUGCUUCACCUGGCGCAGGCUCACUGGAUUUGCAGCUAAUUUCACGUUGGCAGACCCCAUCCUUGUGACAGUGGGAAUGGAAGGAGGCUUGUGCAAUG